rnacentral:rRNA from 1 species
AUUGAACGCUAGCGGGAUGCCUUACACAUGCAAGUCGAACGGCAGCAUAAGAGAGCUUGCUCUCUUGAUGGCGAGUGGCGAACGGGUGAGUAAUGUAUCGGAACGUGCCCAGUAGCGGGGGAUAACUACGCGAAAGCGUAGCUAAUACCGCAUAAGCCCACAGCUCCGCAUGGAGCAGGGGGAAAAGGAGUGAUCCGCUUUGAGAUGGCCUCGCGUCCGAUUAGCUAGUUGGUGAGGUAACGGCCCACCAAGGCGACGAUCGGUAGCCGGACUGAGAGGUUGAUCGGCCACAUUGGGACUGAGACACGGCCCAG